rnacentral:lncRNA from 1 species
AUGAAUAAGAAGGUCUACACGUUUGACAGUUCAAACCCCAAAUCUACAGAAUCUAAACUUCAUUUAUUGCAGGAUCAAUGCCUCAAGCAGGACUUCACUGGAGCUCUAGGUUUCAUGAUCAGGAGCAGCAGUGAAUUGCCAGGGCUGGCUGGCUUACCCACAGCCCUCCCAUCUCUUUGUCCAGCACUGCAGAACUUGGAUCUUCUGAGGAGAGACAGAUGGCAUCUGAGCGCUCGGUACUGCAGACCAUGGUCAACCACAAAUAAACCAUAACUUCAAGAUAUUUUCAUACAGGAUGCCCAUUUUUGCAUAUCCAGUCUGCCAUCUGAGAACUGUGAAUGGGUGUUUUUUGUUUUGUUUAUUAAGUUAAAAGUACAAUUCUGGGCCACUUUUCUUGUGUUUCUCUUCAAGCCUGACCAAUGCUUUCACUUGUGGCAUCAGAGAUUAUCAGGAUAUUUUGCUUUCUGCAGAUAGGCAUUCUCACUCACCAAGUAUUAAAUCAAAUUAAAAAGAAGGCAAAUGCAGGAAAAAAAAUAAAAUCAAAGUCUCUUUUAAGUUUUUG